AAACUAAAUAGGAUUCCCCCAGUAAUGGCGAAUGAACAGGGAAGAGCUCAGCAUGGAAAUCGGGGCCUCCCGGCCUUGAAUUGUAGUCUUGAGAUGUACUGCCAACGGAGGCGCAGAUGUAAGCCUCUUGGAAAAGAGCAUCAACGAGGGUGAGAGUCCCGUUUGUCAUCUGCAGUCCCCCGUGCACGGUGUACAUUCUAAGAGUCACGUUCCUCGGGAUUGGAGCGCAAAGUGGGUGGUAAAUUUCAUCUAAAGCUAAAUAUUGGUUCGAGACCGAUAGCAAACAAGUACCAUGAGGGAAAGGUGAAAAGGACUUUGAAAAGAGAGUUAAAAGUGCCUGAAAUUGCUGAAAGGGAAGCGAAUGGAACCAGUGUUCUUGAUGAGAUUGUCGCGUACUCUGGUGAUUGCUGGGUGCUCCACCGCAAGGGGGGCAUUUGGUUUUGAGCUAGAUGUGCGUGGUGUUUCUUGUCUUGUGUGUCACCGUCGGUGCACGAGCGAGUAAACCUCCAGGGAGAUGGUAACUCGUCUGCGGAUGUGUGAAUGUCUCUGGUAGUACUCAUUUGUGUAUCGAUCCCUGCGUGUCUGGUUGCAGUGUUUGAGUCGUCUGGAAGCUUCUGAAAGGCUUGCCCUCGAUGAACUUUCUGGGCUCCUUGAGCAUCUCCCUGACACA
rnacentral:rRNA from 1 species